rnacentral:rRNA from 1 species
AUUGAACGCUGGCGGCAUGCCUUACACAUGCAAGUCGAACGGCAGCACGGACUUCGGUCUGGUGGCGAGUGGCGAACGGGUGAGUAAUGCAUCGGAACGUGCCAUUGAGUGGGGGAUAACGUAGCGAAAGUUGCGCUAAUACCGCAUAUUCUGUGAGCAGGAAAGCAGGGGACCGCAAGGCCUUGCGCUCGUUGAGCGGCCGAUGUCAGAUUAGCUAGUUGGUGAGGUAAAGGCUUACCAAGGCGACGAUCUGUAGCGGGUCUGAGAGGAUGAUCCGCCACACUGGAACUGAGACACGGUCCAGACUCCUACGGGAGGCAGCAGUGGGGAAUUUUGGACAAUGGGGGCAACCCUGAUCCAGCCAUGCCGCGUGAGUGAAGAAGGCCUCGGUGUAAG